rnacentral:misc_RNA from 1 species
GGGGCCUUAGCUCAGCUGGGAGAGCACCUGCUUUGCAAGCAGGGGGUCGUCGGUUCGAUCCCGACAGCCUCCACCAUAUUGAGGUGAAAGACUUCGGGUCUGUAGCUCAGGUGGUUAGAGCGCACCCCUGAUAGGGUGAGGUCGGUAGUUCGAGGCUACCCAGACCCACCACUCUGAAUGUAGUGCACACUUUAAGAAUUUAUACGGAUCAGCGUUGGAGGCUGGGCACGGGUUCUUUUUAUAACCUUGGGACGGAGCGAGGCGUUUGAGAAAUCUAUUCUAAACGUGGCGUUGAAGGCUAAGGCGGGGACUUCGAGGCCCUAAAAAAUUGAGUCGUAUGUUCGCGUUGGGGGCUUUUG